AAUUUUGAUAGACCUUGCAUUAAAUCUGUAGAUCACUUUAGGUAGUAUGGACAUCUUAAUAAUAUAAAUUCUUCUAAUCCAGGAACACAGGGUAUCUUUCCGUCGAUUUGUGUCUUCUUCAAAUUCUUGUACUGGUGUUUUAUGGUUUUUAGUGCACAAGCUUUUCACCACCUUGGUUUAAUUUGUUCCUAAGUUUUUCACAAGUUUUUCACCUCCUUGGUUCAAUUUUUUUCCUAAGUAGUUUAUUCUGCUUUUAAUUUUUGAUGCUAUUGUUAGUGGGAUUGUUUUCUUGAUUUCUUUUCCAGGUAGCUUGCUGUUAGUGUGUAGAAGCGCUUCUGCUGUUUGAUUGCCUCCGGUCCUUUCUGACGGUGGCCCUCGCCAAGCCUCACUUCUCAUGUCUGUAAAAUGGGACGUGGCACCACGUGGGCAUGCUGGAGUGUGCACUGUCCUUCCCCUGCACGGGCCACGCCUUCCAGAUCACCUGAGGGCACGAGGAAACCGUUUCCUAGUGAUGAUGGAGGAAACAGCGUGAUUACUAACCACUUAGCCAUCUUCUCAGUUUAUACCAGCCAAACGUUGAGUGUUAUAUGAAUGAGUGGCACAGCAGGGGAUCAUGUGGGAGUGGCUUUUUUCACUCGGCAUAAUCCACUUGAGGCUCAUCCAGGUUGAAGCAGGUAUUACUAUUAUUUUUUUUUUAAGACGGGAUCUCACUCUGUUGCCCAGGCUGGAGUACAGUGGUGGGAUCUUGGCUCACUGCAACCUCCGACUCCCAGGUUCAAGUGAUUCUUGAGCCUCAGCCUCCCAAGUAGCUGGGAUUACAGGCAUGCAUCACCACACCUGGCUAAGUUUUGUUUUUUUUAGCAGAGACAGGGUUUCGUCAUGUUGGCCAGGCUGGUCUCGAACUCCCGACCUCAGCUGAUCCACCCACCUCGGCCUCCCAAACUGCUGGGAUCACAGGCGUGAGACACCGUGCUGGGCCCUGCUGCAGGUAUUAAUAAUGGAUUCCUUCUCACUGCAGCAUGGUAUCUCAGCAUGGGGGCACCCCAGCCUGUGCAUUCACCCACUGCAGGGCACCUGGGCGGUUUGAGUUUCUGGCCUUUGUGAAUAACACUGCUAUGAACAGACACAUACAGGUUUUUGUGUGAACAGAAGUCUUCAUUACUCUGAUAUGACCGCCAUGAGUGCAAGUGCUCAGUCCUCUGGUCGUUGCAUGUUGAGUUCGUUAAGAAACUGCUGAAGUGUUUUCCAGAACACCUGUGGCAUUCUCCAGUCUCCCCAGCCAUGCGUAAGUGAUCCAGUGUCCUUCCCUGCAUCCUCACCGGUACUUCAUGCUGGCGCUAUUUUUAAUGUCAGCCAUUCUGAUAGGUGCGCAGUGAUGUCUGGCUGUGGGCUUCCCUGGCGGCUGAUGGCGUUUGUCAUCUUUUCGUGUGCUUACCUGUCAUUUGUCCAUUCUCCUGGUGAAACGUCUUUUCAGUUCUGCUCAUUUCCUAACUGGACGGUUUGUUUCCUUGCUGUUGAGUGUUCUUCCUCUAGUCUAGGUACUGGUCCUUGUUGGAUAUGUGGUUUGCAAAUACUUUCUCUCACUCUGUAGCUUGCCUUUCAUCUUCUUAACAUGGGUGUUUCACAGAGCGAAAGUGGCUGAUCCUGAUGAAGCCCAAUUUAUCAACUUUCCUUUUGACUGGCUUUCAGUGUGAAGUCUGAGGACUCCUCUCCUAGCCCUAGAUAUUCUCUCCUGUGGUUUUUCUAAAAGGUUUAUGAUUUUUACAUGCGACAUUUAAAUCUAGGCAAUUUUGAGCUCAUUUUUCUAUCGGGUGUGAGGUUUAGGUUGAGGUUCAUUUUUAUUGCAUGAAUAAGCCCUCCCCUCAGUGAGUUGUUUUGGCACCGACGUCAAACAUCCCUCGGCCAUAUUUAUAUGGGUUUAUUCCUGGGGCCUCUAUCAGACCUUAUUUUUAAUUCUUAAGAUAUUUACAAAACUUAGACUCCCCUAAACCCAGUGCUGUUUGCAAGAUAGGUUGGCCUGUGUGUGUGAGACAGUGUGUGAGUGUGUACAAAUCUGCGAGUUUGAGAGUGAAUACAUGAGCGUGUAAGCAUGUGUGUGUCUGUGUGUUUGUGUGUAUGUGUGAGCGUGUGUACCAGUGAGUGUGUGCCUCGGACCUGGAUCCUACACUCCCACCAGCUUCCCUAGCGUAGCGGGUGGCCUCUUCCCGACAGUAGGUGCACAGUGGGGUGGGGGUUGACUCUCCCCACCAAGAGCAUCUUUUGAUCACUCUCUUCACUUCCGCCAACUCCAGCUCCUGCCAGCAGAGCAGGCCCAGCAAGGGUCCCGGCCCCCUGGGCGGUGGUAGACUGGCUCCCAUAGAGACACUCCGCAGAUGCGACUGCACUGCCGAGACGCCAGGCUCUAGGGGGCAGCA
rnacentral:lncRNA from 1 species